CCUACGGGCCGCACCAGUGGGGAAUAUUGCACAAAGGGCGCAAGCCUGAUGCAGCCAUGCCGCGUGUAUGAAGAAGGCCUUCGGGUUGUAAAGUACUUUCAGCGGGGAGGAAGGUGUUGUGGUUAAUAACCACAGCAAUUGACGUUACCCGCAGAAGAAGCACCGGCUAACUCCAUGCCAGCAGCCGCGGUAAUACGGAGGGUGCAAGCGUUAAUCGGAAUUACUGGGCGUAAAGCGCCCGCAGGCGGUCUGUCAAGUCGGAUAUGAAAUCCCCGGACUCAACCUGGGAACUGCAUUCGAAACUGGCAGGCUAGAGUCUUGUAGAGGGGGGUAGAAUUCCAGGUGUAGCGGUGAAAUGCGUAGAGAUCUGGAGGAAUACCGGUGGCGAAGGCGGCCCCCCGGACAAAGACUGACGCUCAGGUGCGAAAGCGUGGGGAGCAAACAGGAUUAGAUACCCGUGUAGUC
rnacentral:rRNA from 1 species